rnacentral:lncRNA from 1 species
AGAGAGAAAGAUAAACUGUGAACUAAUACAACCAGUUCAAAUUCAAAAAUAUAAAAUCUUCAAAAAGAACAAAUCUAUUGUGAACAGGACUUUAAUUUUACAAAAGCGACAAAAUGAUUGACUACCGCGCCACUUCUGCCGCACAGCAAGCGUCCUAUGUGUAGGAGUUGUUCAAAUUUUGUUUAUGUUUUUCUACAUGUCAUGAAACUUACAGAAAAAGUUCAAAAUUGAUCAAGGAGUUCAACUAGAUUCAACACAUACGAGUGACAUUUUAAUCGCCUAUUGUUAAAAUAUUAUUAAAGUAAAAUUGCAAAGAGAGGAUUUAUCUCUUGUCAAAUUAUCAUCCACACACAAAAAUUUAACUUAUAUUCUUUAUAAGCUUGCGAAUUGUAUUUAUAAAAGCUUCUCAAAGAUUUUGUGAGAAUUUUCUGAUGAAAAUUGUGAGAUAGUUCAUAUAAGGAGUCAGUCAUCGUGUGACUUGUGUGAUUACUUGGAUGUGGUUAUGUAAAUCCUAAAUAAAUAUUUUCAAUUUUAUAUUUUAUAAUUUUAUAAUUCCUUUAUAUUCUUGGUUUCAGUAUGAUAACGUGUAAUACAGUAAAAAAAAACGAACACUAGACUUUAGAGAGAAUUGGCUUACGGAUGAUUUUCAAGUUUCAAGUAUUGGUUACGCAAAAUAACCUUUGGCGAUAUGAUUCUGUCAUUGCAUUAUAUUUGAUAAAAAGUUUUCAUGCGGCUUAUUUCAUAUUGUAAGCUAAUAGUGAUAAAAUAGAUCCGAAGGAAAAAACUUUGCAUAAGGCAAUGACAUUUCAAAAGCAUUAGUUAGACAUUGAACUAUUCAAACCAUGGUUAUGCGAAGUUUCGGAUAAUACAAAUUUAUUUGCUUGUGCAAUUUGUGAUAUAUCUCUAAUUUGUGGUCUAUCGCAAAUUUUUCGUCAUGCAAAUUGCAAGAAAUAGGGAUGUAAAGAAUGUUAUAGAGCUCAAUUCGUCAAACGAAGAAUUAAAAGAACAAGUUGAUGAAUCAUUUGAGCAGUUUCAAGAGCGUAAAGAAUUAGCGGAAAUUUGUUAUGCCGCAUUAAUUGCCGAGCACAAUAUUUCACAUGAAACUGCAAAAACACUUCUGAAUUUUUUUCAAGAUGUAGGGGAAGAGCUGAAAAUAUUAAAUAAUAUGAGAAUGGGUUGUACAAAAUGUGCGAAUAUUAUUUCAAAUGUUUUGUGUCCAAUCGAAACCAAUCAUUUAGUUGAAAAUAUUCAAAAUACUAAAUUUUCUGUUUUCAUCGAUGAGACAUCUGAAAUUUUAAAUGGAAAAUGGAUGGCAUUUCUCGUACGAUAUGUUAAUAUCAAAACAUUAGAUGUACAUAAACAAUUAGUAAAAUUAAUAGAAUAUUGAUACGACAGAUCGUAAAUAAAUAAAUUAUUUAAUGCUUUCAAAAUGGAAAUACAUAAGUUGCAAAUAUCAAUUUCAAAUAUUAUUGCCUUAUCAUGUGAUAACGCAUUGGUUAUGUCAGAGAAACAUUUUUCGUUUAAAAAAAAACUUGAAGAAAAAUGUAAAAAUCUCUUAACGUUAUCGUGUCCAUGUCAUUCUAUUACAUUAAUUAUAGAAGCCGUAUGUUCUAACAUGGCUCCAACUUGCGAGGAAUCUAUUAAAAUAAUUGCAAAUUAUAUUAAUUAUGCUAAAUUUCCUUGUAUUAAUAAUCCUGAACGCUCAAAACAUUUUUAUGAAUUCUUAAAUUGUUUUCAAGGAAGACAUAAAAUUUUUAAAUUAAAUGAACCGCAAUGGCUUGUUUGCUACUCAUGUGUCGGAAAUCUUCUUGAAUCUUGGGAUAUUAUUCAGAAUUUUUUUAAAAGAAUUUUUUAAAAUAAUCAAGAGUAAAAACACAUCAUUGAGAAAAGAUUUGUUGUCUAUAGUAAAAGAUAUAAGCAUAUUUAUUAUUUUUACACUAUAUUUUUUACAAUUUUUUAAUGCAUUUAGUAUAUUUUUCCAAGCUACAGGAAACAAGAAUUCAUCUUUUGCAUUCUGAAUCAAUAAAUCUUCUGAUACAAAUCUCUAGAAAUUUCAUAAAAUCAGACCUUUUAAAAAAUCUACCCAGUAUUAUAUUUUCAGAAAAUGAAAAUCACAAAUCUCUCAAUGAUAUUAACUUAGGCUCGACUGUGAGGAAUAUCUCAAUAAAUUAAUGAAUGAAGGAUAUGUGGACAAAGUUGUAAAUAUUCGAAAAAAUUGUCUACAAUUUUAUAUUAUACAGCUGCCGAAGAAAUUUAUAAAAGAUGCUAAUUAAAAAUCAAUUUUUAUAUAAAUUAAAAGUGUUUCAGUCGCACAUAACUUUGUAUAAUAUUGACAGAGAAAACGUCAUUUAACGAUCUUUCUUAUAUCGUCCAAACCAUUGGUGAUUUAGAUGAUAACAAUAAAAAAAGAAUGAUUUAUGUUAUAUUCUGACAUUACGGAAGCAGAGAAAGAAAAUUUGUCAAAACUAAACUUUGAUAACAUGUGGAAGAAAAUUUUGCAACAUAAAACUGACAAUAUAAAGUAUUCCAAUUUAAAAGCAGUUUUAAAUGCUAUUAGAGCAGUUCCAAAUUCGAAUGUGGAUCUGGAAAAAACAUAUAUUUUCGUUUCUACCUGAUGUAAAUAAAAAAAAUCGACAUCUUUCAUCGGCUGCUCUAAAUUCCAUGUGUGUUUUAAAAUCAGCUUUAAAGACAAAAAGGGAAAAUAUUCUAGACAUGAAGAUAGAUGUAAAUCAUAUAUCUCUCAUGUCAGAUAAAUUAUAUACCUAUGUACCUAAACAGGAAAGUAGUCAGCUACUACAUAUUGCAGAUGAAGAUGAAGAUAAUUGUAUUUAGGAAAUAGAAGAGUUGACAGAUUGCUCAAUAGUAAAGUUAUGUAAUGAAAACUUUUCGAUAAAGUCUGUUAUCCCCCAUUAUUCAUGUAUUGCAAAUAAGGCUGUCAAUGUUUGCUGGUGAUGCAUUGAUAUUCAAGAAUAUUUAUUAUUUUGUUUUUAAAAAUAAGAUAUGGAAGGAGUUAUGUUUAACUUAUUGUUUUAACUUAUUUUUAUGGAUAAUUAUAUCACAAGUUCUUUUUUACAUAUACGCUACAUAUACGGACAACAAAAUUAAUCAUAUAUCGAGCUUCAAAAAAACUGUUACGGAAUUGAAUAUCAAUGAUUACCAAGAUAGAAAAAAAA